GACGAACGCUGGCGGCGUGCCUAAUACAUGCAAGUCGAACGCGUCCUCGUUUAAAACAAUUGGUGCUUGCACCAAGCGAUUUAAGCAUUGGGACGAGUGGCGAACUGGUGAGUAACACGUGGGUAACCUGCCCUAGAGUAGGGGAUAACACUUGGAAACAGGUGCUAAUACCGUAUAACAACUGAAACCACAUGGUUUCAGUUUAAAAGGUGGUUUUGCUACCGCUUUAGGAUGGACCCGCGGCGCAUUAGCUAGUUGGUGGGAUAAUAGCCCACAAAGGCAAUGAUGCGUAGCCGACCUGAGAGGGUAAUCGGCCACAUUGGGACUGAGACACGGCCCAAACUCCUACGGGAGGCAGCAGUAGGGAAUCUUCCACAAUGGACGAAAGUCUGAUGGAGCAACGCCGCGUGAGUGAAGAGGGGUUUCGGCUCGUAAAACUCUGUUGUUGGAGAAGAACAGGUGUGAUAGUAACUGAUCAUGCUUUGACGGUAUCCAACCAGAAAGCCACGGCUAACUACGUGCCAGCCGCCGCCGUAA
rnacentral:rRNA from 1 species